GACGAACGCUGGCGGCGUGCUUAACACAUGCAAGUCGAACGGAAAGGCCCUGCUUUUGUGGGGUGCUCGAGUGGCGAACGGGUGAGUAACACGUGAGUAACCUGCCCUUGACUUUGGGAUAAAUUCAGGAAACUGGGGCUAAUACAGGAUAGGAGCUACUGCUGCAUGGGGGGGGUUGGAAAGUUUCGGCAGUUGGGGAUGGACUCGCGGCUUAUCAGCUUGAUGGUGGGGUAGUGGUUUACAAAGGCUUUGACGGGUAGCCGGCCUGAGAGGGUGACCGGCCUCAUUGGGACUGCGAUACGGCCCAGACUCCUACGGGAGGCAGCAGUGGGGAAUAUUGCGCAAUGGGCGGAAGCCUGAUGCAGCAACGCCGCGUGCGGGAUGACGGCCUUCGGGUUGUAAACCGCUUUCGCCUGUGACGAAGCGUGAGUGACGGUAAUGGGUAAAGAAGCACCGGCUAACUACGUG
rnacentral:rRNA from 1 species